UCUUGCAGAUGGAUGAAACGGCUCAGGAGUUUUGACAUCGAGGCCUCUGUGACCUUCUAACUUUGGACCAUAGAUUUCAUCCAGCUGGAUGGGAGUUUUACUCACUAACAAGCAAGCAGACCCAAAGACAAAGUAGGUGGCCAGUGUAUCAUCAAAUGGCAGGAUGCCACAACAGAGCUCCUUUGGUCAUUCUGCCCACCAGUGUGAAGUCAGUAAACCCAGAGACAAGAGCCCUCGCCCACAUGAACUCUGGCCGCUCUGGUUGAGGUCUGCUGCUUGAGUCACAGGGGCCAGAGGGACCGGAAGGACACAACAGACUGGAGCUUCUACCAGUUGUGGACUGGACGGGUAUACAGAAGCAUGUGAAUAUACAAAGGUAAGCACUACAAUGUGAAGCU